GCGCAAAUUACCCACUCCCGGCACGGGGAGGUAGUGACGAAAAAUAACAAUACGGGACUCUUUUGAGACCCCGUAAUUGGAAUGAGUACACUCUAAAUCCUUUAACGAGGAUCUAUUGGAGGGCAAGUCUGGUGCCAGCAGCCGCGGUAAUUCCAGCUCCAAUAGCGUAUAUUAAAGUUGUUGCGGUUAAAAAGCUCGUAGUUGGAUCUCAGUUCCAGACGGGCGGUCCGCCUAACGGUGGUUACUGCCUGGCCUGAACAGCCAGCCGGUUUCCCUAGAUGAUCUUCACCGGUUGUCUUGGGUGACCGGCACGUUUACUUUGAAAAAAUUAGAGUGCUCAAAGCAGGCGUGUAGCCUGAAUAAUGGUGCAUGGAAUAAUGGAAUAGGACUUCGUUUCUAUUUUGUUGGUUUUCGGAACACGAGGUAAUGAUUAAGAGGGACAGACGGGGGCAUUCGUAUUGCGACGCUAGAGGUGAAAUUCUUGGACCGUCGCAAGACGAACUACU
rnacentral:rRNA from 1 species